UCCCCAGGGAGACUCCGGUAUCCCCGAGGUGGCAGGUACUUGCGGAGAUCACCCCUCGUGGCCUGUUCGUGGGUGUGACUCAGGUGGACCCAUCACUGGGGGGGCUUGGCCACUACACCACGAACCCAGGAAGCCCCCCAUUUGUUAUUUUAAGGAAGUACAACAUAUAAAAUUAUUGAUUCAAGAAAAAUCUUCCACAGACUGUGGCACUCAAUUCCCAGUGAUUGUUUUUGAGUCUAAAAAGGACGAUUUGGUCUGCCAAGAAAGCUUGAGAGGGCAAGGUCAGAUCUGCUGCCCUGUUCUGGACCCGCUGUGUGAACUGGAGUCCUUUGAAGAACAUUAUAGCCAAGAUCCUGCUGACUGAAUGACUGAAUCAUAAAUGUGGGGAGCUCAAACGUAGCCAAGAGCCAAAUGAUCGUGAACUAUUUUAGGCCUCUUUGAAAACUAUAUGUGUGUGUGUGUGUGUGUGUGUGUGUGUGUGUGUGUGUGUGCGCGCGCUUUUACCUGCUGAGCUGUCUAAGCCCGCCUUGCUUUUAGUAGCCAUUUUGACGUUU